rnacentral:lncRNA from 1 species
AAUAUGGGUGCUUUCACAAAAAUAGGGCAACUCUAUUUCCGCAGCACAUUUCACUUGAAAUAAUUAAUAAUUAUUUACUACCAAAAUUGUUAAAUAACAGUUCACAAUGUGUUUUAUUUAUCUCUCAAAAUAUGUUACAAGUGAUAUUAUAUUAUAUUUUAAAAUCGGUUAUAUGGACCCCAAAUGUCAGUCCCUAGGCAUGUCCGACCUACGAAAUUUUGUGCUUAGGUAUCCAUAUUUAACAAGAUUAUUAAGUUUAUACUUAUUUUAAUUAUUACUUUUUAAAAUGUAUAAGUACUCGAAGCUAAUUAUGUCAAUAUUUUGUAAUUUAAAUAAACAAUAAUUAUUUUUCCUCAAAUGAGUUUAGUGUCCUCAACUUUAUUUGUCAGGCCCUAGCCACUUACGAAUUUUAAAAUUUCGCGACAUAAUUUUAAUGAACGUUGAAUAAUACUAGUGAAUUUUAAAGUAUUACAUGAAGUUAUCCGCAGACAACACUCGCUUUGCGGUGGACAUUUUUUAAAUCAGUGCAAACCCGGCAGUUCGUGGCUCAUCACGUGUUGUAUCCAGUCACUUGGUCAGUCCCUAGCAAUAUGCCGCCUUAAAAGAAACCAAAAUUAUCCAAAGAAAUAGCCAUUAAAAAAAUCAGCUGCUGCAAAAGCUCGUUUAGAGAAAAUUAAAAGUGAUCCAGUUUUAUUAGCACAGUACAAAGAGAAAGAAAGACUAAAGUAUUUAAAAAAGAAGGAGAAGGGUCAACGAAAGUUUGUCCAGGAUAUGACCUCACGUGCACAUAGGAAAAUAAAAAAGAAGUGGAAGAAGUACUCAUCUGAUUAUAGAAAGAACCUAAAACUUCAAAAAGUGAUAAUUUUGUUGUUGAAAAUACCCCACCUUCAUCUGACGAUGAAUUUAUCAGAGAACCUGUAGCUCCAGAACUGCUGAUCUACAAUGAAAAUGUAAAUGACGACCUUAGACAAGUUGAAGCUAAAAGAAGAAGCCUAAUUCAACAGAAGAAAAGAAAUAAACUUUUGCAGAAAAAAUGACAAAUAAUUGCUAAUUUAAAAAAGAAGCUUAACACUCAACUGAAGAAAUAUAGUAGACUGAAGAAAAAAAAUAAGAAAUCGAAGAAUUUGCUCACACCUAAAAGUAAAAUUGAACAACUAGCAGAAGAUCCUAAUCAAAGAAGAGAAAUUGUGAAAAAGGCGUUGUUUCGCGAAGUGUUGGAAGCACAAAUUACGGAAAAUA